UAUUAUUAUUAUUAUUAUGUCUUGGGACGCAAGGAAGUUCAUGGCAGCAAAAAAUCCCCCAUCUUCUUUCCUCCAGCAUCAUUCAGGAGAGGGCCAUGAUUCUCCUGAGUGGCUUUGCAGAGGGCACAGUGCGGAGGAGCAGGCGGAAACUUAUCCUUCUGUGUCUCAAAAUCUAACUUGUUGCUCCGUAUAAAUAACCCGCCCUUGUUCUCAGAGUAGCUGUCUUGCUGUUCGGAGUUGUGAUAGGAAUUUUGAGGUCUUAGAUAUAUGGUAAUGUUCAUAAGCGUACCAACCAAGCACGUACAUAGAUCAGCACAGGAAGACCGACCUGGAACCAUUUUGAUUCCUCAACUGAGCAAAUGUUUUCUCUGCAAGGUCAAAGUGGGAAACCUCCCCAUUGUCUCUUUCCUCACAAAUCCUGUCUUAAGGGCACAUUUAAGAUAUGAAUAGGGUGUGAGCCUGUGACCUGGCCCAGGAACUAAGUAUUUAUCAUUACAAAAGACUGGCCAGGCUCCCCAGGCAAUCCAAUCAAGUAACCUGCCAGACAGGAGAUAAACAAGGACAGGAGAAAAACAACAUUCAAAUUUUCUGUUUUAGACCGCCUUUUUUGUGAUGUAGGUGUGAUGUAUCUGAGGGGUGGUCUUAGGUUACACCCCUUCUGCGAUGUAUGUAUGGUGUUUCUGGGGGUGGUCUUGAUCUACAGGGUGGCAAUUUCAAAAGUCUUUAUAAGGCCUUGCACACCAUUGUUCUGGGUUCCUCCGCCUUUCCUGCGAGUGAGGGGAGCACCCUGUUGCAACAGAUCAAUAAAGAUCAAGCUUACUAGCUGCUUUGCUUCUCAAUAUUCUCUGGUUGGCCUCUGUUAUUCUCUCCUACCAAUAGGGAACCUAUGUAAGGACUCUAUAUGGGCUCUUGGAUACCCCAUAAGGGAAAAGGGCAAUUUUUGUUUACAACAGAGUUUACCCAAUUGACCAUCUUUCCCCUUUUCUCUGCCAGGUAGAAGAUUCCCUUCAGGCCACAAGGGUGGAGAGCCAGCCCAGGAGGGCCACCAACCCUGCAGCUGUUCCGACCUGCGUGGGCCCCGGAAUCCAAAGAAACAUGGACGGCUGUGUCCUUGCGAUGGCAUCCUUACCGGUUUGUCUCUGCCAGAACAGCUCCAUCACCACCACCGUGGCAUGUCCAAGCGGCAUUUGCACCAGAGAAGGCAUCGGUGCCAGGCGUUUGUGAAUAAGUGCCACAUGAUGCGGGUGGCCAUACCCUUGUAGCUUUCUCUCUUUUUUUACGUAAAUUUUUAUUAGUUUUUUAACAUAUCAUUUUCAACAGUAAUUAAACAUACUUUUACAUCUUAUUCCAUUUUUUUGGACUUCCAUCAGUCCUGUCUGAAAAUUUUCCAAUCUAAUCUCUCAGUGUGCAUUUCUUAUCUUCCCUAUUACAUUUCAAACUCAUAACCAAUAUCUCUAUCUUUUUCUAACACUUCGUAUAUUUCUCCUUACAAAACUUAUUGUAGUCCUACUAGCGUAAUUUGUUGAUGACAGUUGCUCUUCAAAUAAUUCAUAUACUUCUUCCAAUCUUCUGUAAA